AUCAUUUGGAGUGAUUGAAAUCUGUGGGAUGUAUGAGACUCUUACAGAUUGUUGGCUUUGUAAUUUUCUUUUAAAGUUCUAGUAUUGUAAAAUAAAACUUGUAAUAUUUCUAAUCCUGUCUAAUUUAUUAACCCGAUAUGAAUCUUUGGGACAUUUGACCCCAAAUGAAAUUAAAAUAUAUCAAGAGGUCAGCGCUUUGUUAAAUCAUUCAGAGUAGACUAGAAACUCAAAUGUCUCCAAAGAAAUGUAUGGGACUGUCAGAGUUGUAGACUGUGUUUUUCAUAAAUGUUAUUCAUAAAAAUCAUAAACAUGAAUUUACUUCUAAUCUCUCUUAGGAAAGUUUCCCCCCUCUUCCAUGUUAGGAUGGAAAUUCUGUUUGUCAUUUUAGCAAGUAGGUGUUUUCUGAUAUGUUUUUUAACAUUUUUUCAUAUACAAUUGAAUUAUUCAUUAGUGUCUUUCCUGCCAAUGCAAAGAUGAAAUACAGGUCUAUUUUCAGUGUAAUUUUAAAAAAUAGUUUGACUUAGUACUUCAGAAUUAUUCAAAAUUUGUGUUGAUCUGCAAAGGUGAGCUCUAAGUAUCUGUCACUAGCUUGAUAGCUUUGUCAUUGAGGAACUUAUCUGCUCUUUAAUGAAAAAUGCCAGUGCCACUGUGUUUUCUUUACUGGUGAAAAUUCCCUGUUUUAUCUCAGUUACCGCUUUUCUUGCCCACUUUGAGAAAAUGCUUUGCUUAGUUUGAAUAAUUACAUAAAACUGCAGGUGCAUUAGGUAUUACAACAUGCCAUUUUCCAUGUCUCUAGAAAGUGGUAGACACAUAGGUGUUUGUGUUACAGUUCUUUCUUUUUAUUUGCUUUCAGGGAGGGUGGAACUACAACUUCGUGUUCCAGCAUGUAAAACAAACUUUUAAAAAAUUAAAACAAUGCAAUAAAGACAUGGUCUAGCUAUGUUGCCCAGGCUGAUUUCAAACUCCUGGGCUCAAGCAAUCCUUCUGCUUUGGCCUCCCAAAGUGCCAGGAUUACAGAUAUGGGCCAUUGUGCCUAAACUUGUUUAAUUUUCGUAAAAUGUAUAGAAAGUGUAACUUCCCAGUAAGAGAGAUGAGGAAUGGAGAACUUAACAGGACUCAGUGAGAGUCCUAUAAUAAAGUGAGAUCCCAGGCUUAUCAAAUAGGAAACCAUUACUAUUCAAAUACUGCUACUGAGUGAUCCUUCAAUGUGUUAUUGUACCAGCAGUAAACUUCUCUUUACUUUCAUUUCAAUACUGUCUGUGUGAUCCAAGGUAUAAAUAUUUGUCAGAAUAUACAUCUGUAGUUUAUAUGAAUGUAAUCAAGAGCAGCAUUUCAAGUUGUUUUCUCAUUGAGUAUAGGGGAUACGGGGCAUGGAGUGACUGGCUAUCUGGUGACUCUUUGGAUGUGAAGAUUUCCUCCCUGAUGAAUUAAAUGAUAAAAUCUCAAUGAAAUUUCCCACUUGUUCAAGUAAAAACGAGCACUAUUUAACUCAUUAGAAGGUUGCAUUUUUGUCCUACUAAUGACUCUAGAACUGCUAAUUUGUGAAUUGUAGAUAUAUGGUAAAAUUUAAAUACUUGACAUGCUUUGAAGAAUAAUCCCCUUCACUGAAUUGAAGUGACUUGUUUGAGUAAAUAGCAUGUCGUUUGGAUGGUAUAUAUUAAUUUUCAUUCAAUUGACAGUGCUUCAGCAGGCAUACUCAGCAAGCAGGUUUAGGGGUUGCAAAUUAUAAUUAGCCCUAUUAUUCAGAGCUGUUUAGACUAUACAUUAUGUAGAACAUUGCUUUUUAUUUCUGUGUUGCCCACUUUCGGGCUUUUGUUUUCUUUUCCUCUUUAGCUGCCCUUUAAAGAUAGGUACCCAUGGUUUAGGAAUAGAUGCUAUUAACCAUUUACCGAUGACAGGGUUUAUCUUAUCAUAGGAGAUUAAAAAUCACUGUACAGGAGGGUGGACAUUUGUUGAGUUGGUGAAUUUGAAGAUGGAGAAAAUUAGUGGAAAAAUUCUUCUGGAAGGGAGAUAUGCUUUGAGGUAUGAUUUAAAAUAAAGGAGAGAUGUGGAGCUCAUGGAAUUGCUUUUCAAUUGCUGGUAUUUCUUAAAGGGCAAUAAAAAACAUUAGAAGAUACUAAACAUUAACAGGUGCUAACUUUUAAAACUGCUGAUAUUCUCAAAGUAGGUACUUUAGUUAUCACCUUUAAUAACAUUAGAAGAAAGUGUUGCAAAUAGAAACAAAAGGAAAUUUGAGAUUUUUUUGUGGAUUCUAUCUAUGCCUGCUGGUCUGUUUCUUAUUACCAUGAAUAAUUUAAUAAUUGGCUGUGAGAAGGUGUCUUUAUCUCUGCCAGGCAGCGCUGUAGAAACUGGCUAUGAGCUCUCAGAGCCUGUCACUGCAUGGUGUUGACACAGAGUAGAGACUCCAUGUUUUUCAAAGUCAGUUGACCUCAUCUCUAUAGCCUGAGAAGCAUCAUGAUCCAUUAUGUUGGAGUUGUGUAAACUCACAAAACUUAUCUGGCAGAGGCAUCCUAAUUCAGCACCUCAUGUUAAAUAGGCAUUUAUGUUGUUCUAAGCCCGUAGGCUAAUGUCCAUGAUACCUAGCUGCAUGAGAUAGUCAGUGCCUAUUUGAAUUUUGAGGUAGAUAUGUGAAUGGUUACUUUGAUUCUAUAAAGGCUAGUUAUUUUGUUUUCCUUGUUUAGUCAUCCUGUAGUUCUUUCUGCUUUGAGUCAUUCAUCUUUGGAGAAUAAUUCCAGUCCUUUUUUUUUUUUUUGUAUCAGAAGGUCAAAAGUAGUUUUAAAAGUGAAUUGUGACUGUAUCCCUAAAAUUUUUUAUUUUUCUUUGACUACAGGACAUAUUUUCAGACUGUUUUAAUUCUCUUUAGUUGAGCCCCUUAGAGUGUAAAGAAGGCAAAACUCUUCAUCUCAUCCAUUAUCAUGCCCUUAUUUUUUCCCUAAGUGAACUGUGAUUUGGUGUCUCCAGUAAAGUAUACAGUAGGUUGGGCCAGAAGUGAACAGGAAUUCAUACCCAUGCCUUAUUUAUGACUUUAUUGAGGUGUUUUUUCAUUCUUUUGUGUAUUAUUUAACAAAAUGUUAUCUUUUUUUGCUAUGUAUAAGAUGCUUAGGAAAAACCUAAGUUAGGCCUAGACUCUGGAUGGCUAUUUAGAAUCCAGGUGGCUGGAGAACUCAUUUAUUGCCUUCUCAAAGUUUCUGGGUCAUGUGAACAAUGGGACAAGUAUGGCUUAAUAUAUUUGAAACUUUAAAUUUCUUAUGAAUAAUAAGGAUUUCCAUAGAUGAAUCUCAGAGUCUAAUGAAAAGGUAUAUACAUUUCUCAGAAAAAUUCUCUUAAAUGCAUAAUAUUACUGGGUUCUCAAAUUUAAUGUUGCUGCUCAAGAAAUAAAUUCGAUUGUUGUGUGUAUAUGUGUGUGCAUGUAUGGAAAUAGUGCUUUGACUUAGUUACUCAUUUGCCUAUGCCCAUUGUAGAAUGGCUUCUGAAAACGGGGCUUAGAAGUGAGAGGUUUUGGGGUUGGGGCUGUUUUAAGCUGCUAUCAGAGGCUGGUCAGAGUGCCUCCCAUUUAGUAAAUAAUUGAAACGAUGCUUCUGAGGGCUUAUAAAUUUACAUACUUUUAUUAAUUGUUUUACUGUUCAGUAAAAGAAAAGAUGAUCAUAUUUAUAUGAAAGGAACAGCGAAAAACAGCACCAUUUAUAAUUCUAGGAGCAAGAAGAUGGUAAUCCAAUAUGUGUGGUCCGUUAAACAGAGCAAAGUGUUAUAUUCUGAAACAUCCAAAAGAUACCGGCCCUGGGUCAAUUCUAUACCAGCUCCAGGUGCUGCUAAAGGAAGUUUCAGAACCUAGUUGGUUCCACUUAGGCAGCCUAGACUCUCUUGUUAGGCAUUUUCACAGCAGGUUCCCAGAGGAAUAGCUGAUCAUGACAAUAAAAUGGGUAGUAAUGAGAGUUGGGGACAGAUGGCUGUAAGAGUCAGCUUUCUCAAACAGAC